GAUGAACGCUGGCGGCGUGCCUAAUACAUGCAAGUCGAGCGAACAGACGAGGAGCUUGCUCCUUCGACGUUAGCGGCGGACGGGUGAGUAACACGUAGGUAACCUACCUAUAAGACUGGGAUAACUUCGGGAAACCGGAGCUAAUACCGGAUAAUAUUUCGAACCGCAUGGUUCGAUAGUGAAAGAUGGCUUUGCUAUCACUUAUAGAUGGACCUGCGCCGUAUUAGCUAGUUGGUAAGGUAACGGCUUACCAAGGCAACGAUACGUAGCCGACCUGAGAGGGUGAUCGGCCGCACUGGAACUGAGACACGGUCCAGACUCCUACGGGAGGCAGCAGUAGGGAAUCUUCCGCAAUGGGCGAAAGCCUGACGGAGCAACGCCGCGUGAGUGAUGAAGGUCUUCGGAUCGUAAAACUCUGUUAUUAGGGAAGAACAAACGUGUAAGUAACUGUGCACGUCUUGACGGUACCUAAUCAGAAAGCCACGGCUAACUACGUG
rnacentral:rRNA from 1 species